rnacentral:lncRNA from 1 species
AUGCAUCUUAAAUAUAUAUUUAGUCAUAUUAUAUCUAUAUGUUAUGAAUAUGUACAUAUUUUAAAAGGUACAAAUAUAAACUUAGCUACACUUUAUCCUAGAAAUUCUUUAUCAACAAAUGUUUUGACACAUUCUCUGUUUUGACACAUAGAAUUGCUUCAUGUUCAAGACUGUUCAGUACUUAUAGCUUUUUCUUUUUUUAAAAUUAUUGAAUAACUAGAAAUAACUUAUAUGUCUACACUAAGAAAGUGAAGGUGAAAGUGUUAGUCAGUCAGUAGUGUUCAACUCUGUAACCCCACGGACUGCAGCCCACCAGGCUCCUGUCCAUGGGAUUUUCCAGGCAAGAAUACUGGAGUGAGUUGUGAUGCCCUUCUCCAGGGUAUCUUUCCAACCCAGGGAUCAAACCUGGGUCUCCAGCAUUGCAGACAGAUUCUGAGCCAUCAUCUGAGACACCAGGGAAGACCUAACAACAUUAGGGGAUUUGACUGAAUAAAUUAUUAAUAUUAUAUAGCCAUAUAAUGGAAUACCAUGUAAUAGAAACAAAUGUUAAAUUCACACAGUUGAAAUUGACUAAUGAUAAAUUAUCCAAGAUAUACUGUUAGAAUAUGGUGUAUUUGUAGAAUAAUCCUGAAAAUUUAGCAAAAUUUUAUAGAGAAGAGGGUGUUUACUUUUCAUAAGUUAUUUUCUCUAAGCUAAAAACCUCUACACGCAAAAUUCUUUUCAUUUUGUAUUUGCAUGUAUUAAUUUUAUAAUUUAAAUGAUAAAUUAAGAAUACACACAACAAUUCUGAUGUUCUGAUACUUGUUCUGUAUUAAGAACACUCUGGUCCUCAUAUGAUAUUGAUGUCCUAGAAUAAGUUUUAAUGACUAGAGUCCUGAACAAUCAAAUCAAUAUCACUAUUUAAAAUUUUUCUCUAUGGGAAAAGUAUUUAUUUUGUACUGAAAAAUAAUCACACCUCAGUUAUCCUUUAAAUAGACUACAUGCACAAUGUUGCUUUAUAAUACCCUUUCUGUGACAGUGAAAUGAAAUAUGAGAAAAUAUACCAGAUAUAUAUGCUCAGGAGUGCAAUCAUUGGGUCACAUGGUAACGUUAUUCUUAGUUUUUAAGGAACCUCCCCACUAUUCUCCAUAGCGGUUGCAACAAUAUAUCCAGAGAAAACUGUAAUUAGAAAAGAUGCAGGUAGCCCAAUGUUCAUAGCAGCACUCUUUACAAUUGCCAAGACAUGGAAACAAUGUAUGUGUGUGUGUGAGUGUGUAUGUGUGUAAUAUUACUCAGCCCAAAAGAAGAAUGAAACAAUGUCAUUUUCAGCAACAUGGAUGGAUAUAGAGAUUAUUAUAUGAAAUGAAGUAAGUCAGAGAAAGACAAAUGCCACACGAUAUCACUUCUAUGUAGAAUCNNNNNNNNNNNNNNNNNNGUACUUAUUCACAAAACAGAAAUAGACUCAAACGGAAAACAAACUUACGGUUAUGAAAGGAGAAGGGGGAAGGAAUAAAUUAGGAGUUUAGGAUUAACAUAUAUACGCUAUGAAAUAAAAAUAGAUAACGAAGAGGGACCUACUC